rnacentral:rRNA from 1 species
AUUGAACGCUGGCGGCAGGCCUAACACAUGCAAGUCGAACGAGUGGCGCACGGGUGAGUAAUGUCUGGAACACUGCCCGAUGGAGGGGGAUAACUACUGGAAACGGUAGCUAAUACCGCAUACCAUCGGAUGUUCGCAGAUGGGAUUAGCUAGUAGGUGGGGUAACGGCUCACCUAGGCGACGAUCCCUGGCUGGUCUGAGAGGAUGACCGGCCACACUGGAACUGAGACACGGUCCAGACUCCUACGGUAGGCAGCAGUGGGGAAUAUUGCGCAAUGGGCGCAAGCCUGAUGCAGCCAUGCCGCGUGUGUGAAGAAGGCCUUCGGGUUGUAAAGCACUUUCAGCGAGGAGGCGUUACUCGCAGAAGAAGCACCGGCUAACUCCGUGCCAGCAGCCGCGGUAAUAC